CAUAAAUGUAAGAUUAUCUUACAAGUAGUACUUGCAGCUUAAUGAUUUAUUAUUAAUAAUUUUGGAAGGU
rnacentral:tRNA from 1 species